rnacentral:rRNA from 1 species
UACGUAGGGUGCAAGCGUUGUCCGGAAUUAUUGGGCGUAAAGAGCUCGUAGGCGGUCUGUCGCGUCUGGUGUGAAAAUCCAGGGCUUAACCCUGGACCUGCAUCGGGUACGGGCAGACUAGAGUGCGGUAGGGGAGAUCGGAAUUCCUGGUGUAGCGGUGAAAUGCGCAGAUAUCAGGAGGAACACCGGUGGCGAAGGCGGGAUCUCUGGGCCGUAACUGACGCUGAGGAGCGAAAGCAUGGGGAGCGAACAGG